rnacentral:rRNA from 1 species
UAAGGAAUAUUGGACAAUGGGCGAAAGCCUGAUCCAGCCACGCCGCGUGCAGGAUGAAGGUCCUCUGGAUUGUAAACUGCUUUUGACAGAGACGAACGGUCGGGAUUUAUCUUGAAUUGACGGUAUCUGUCGAAUAAGCACCGGCUAACUACGUGCCAGCAGCCGCGGUAAUACGUAGGGUGCAAGCGUUAUCCGGAUUUACUGGGUUUAAAGGGUCCGCAGGCGGUUUGAUAAGUCAGUGGUGAAAUAA